UCCACAGUAGCUCAGUGGUAGAGCUAUCGGCUGUUAACCGAUCGGUCGUAGGUUCGAGUCCUACCUGUGGAGCCA
rnacentral:tRNA from 4439 species